CCCUCCAGGGCCCCAGGGGAGUGGUGGCUCCUCUGCUCUGGAAGGCAGGAACUUGGAUGCAGAGUAGGGGUGCUGUAAAGAAGAGGAGAGAAUAGAAAGAGCUAUUGAUCACGUUGAGUUGGUUGCCCCAACCAUGGAGUGCUGAAUAUGAAAGGGGAAGGAGGGUGUGCAAAGCUCAUUUGCGGAAGAAAGGGUGCUGCUCGCCUCUGAGAGAUGGGGGGAGAAGAGAGGAUGAGAUAGUCCAGCAGGUGAGUAGGCCUCAUUCUGGCCUCCCCGGAGCCUGCUUUGUCCUUUCCCUGUUUGAGCCAAUAGUCAGUAUCCCCCUCCCACCAAGCUGAUUCAAGUCAAGUCUGAGCCAUUCGCAACCCUUCAUACUACAAGUGUGGGGAUUUUUUUUUGUCCUGGGGGGAACUGAGUGAAU
rnacentral:lncRNA from 13 species